rnacentral:rRNA from 1 species
CAGCCGCCGCGGUAAUACAGAGGGUGCAAGCGUUAAUCGGAAUUACUGGGCGUAAAGCGCACGCAGGCGGUUGGUUAAGUCAGAUGUGAAAGCCCCGGGCUCAACCUGGGAAUUGCAUUUGAAACUGGCCAACUAGAGUAUGUGAGAGGGGGGUAGAAUUCCAAGUGUAGCGGUGAAAUGCGUAGAGAUUUGGAGGAAUACCAGUGGCGAAGGCGGCCCCCUGGCACAAUACUGACGCUCAGGUGCGAAAGCGUGGGGAGCAAACAGGAUUAGAUACCCCAGUAGUCCCUGUCUCUUAUAC